AAGGAGCAUCUGCGGACCAGCUUGCUGGUUCGGAGGCCACGCGGUCGGCGAACGAUCGACCGGUGGAGCUCAAUAUUGUGGAUGCUGGCUAAUGCGUGAAUCGGGAUUGCCGACCGAGUUAGCACUGCUGCUUGCAGUGUGGAAGGGUCGGUCGGGGGCUUCGAGGAGUGUUCGGUACGCUGUUGGGUCCUGAGAGAACACGCGAGUGUCUUUCAGUGAUCGGGCUCUCCUAGCCCACGAACCACCAUCCGACAUACGGGAUGGCAGGCGCGGUGCAGGUAAGGGAGAGUGUCGGUUUGUUCUUUGAGAACUGCACAGUGGAUGCGAGCAUCUUUGU
rnacentral:misc_RNA from 1 species